UACGUAGGGUGCGAGCGUUGUCCGGAAUUACUGGGCGUAAAGAGCUCGUAGGUGGUUUGUCGCGUUGUUCGUGAAAUCUCACGGCUUAACUGUGAGCGUGCGGGCGAUACGGGCAGACUAGAGUACUGCAGGGGAGACUGGAAUUCCUGGUGUAGCGGUGGAAUGCGCAGAUAUCAGGAGGAACACCGGUGGCGAAGGCGGGUCUCUGGGCAGUAACUGGCGCUGAGGAGCGAAAGCGUGGGGAGCGAACAGG
rnacentral:rRNA from 1 species